GAGACUCGGCACUGGCAGAACAAAGAAACCUAGGAGGGAAGCUUUGCUCCAAAAGAGAGGUUUUGCUUCAGGAGAAGACUGUUCCAAGAAAAGGGAGACUGGCUGUUUCAAACUCAAAAAAGCUGAUCUUAUGGCUCUUAGCAAAAUACAUGAAGGCCAUCAUCGGAUGUGGGCUGAUUGAUCUUGGACUUCCAAGCCUCCAGAACUAGAACUACUCCACCAUCAUCUGAUGUGGUUCUGAUGGCUGUGUGUUUCUCAGCUUUAUCCUCAGCCUGUGGGUAAUUUAAAAUAAAUACUUUUGCAAGUGAACCAAUAGAAAUAUUUCACUGUCAUUGGGCAGAAAGCUAAAAACCUAAUUACGUUGGAAGUAGGAAGAGGAAGUAAGUAUGGUUGGAAGAGGUGGAGUCUGGUGCUGCCAGAGCAGAAAGCACAAAGAAGAACGUGCUUUUAGGUGGGUGCCCUAAGAGACAUGAUAAGUGAAAAAGGGUAAGUUAAACUUAAUCCUAUUUCUUUACACCAAAAGCAAUAGAAAACCACAUUACUAUGUUAUAAGUUCUACUUAGUAUUUUAGAGGAGAGAAAAAUUAAAAUCCAGCAAGCAAAAUCUCAAGUUAUUAAAAAGAUUAAUCUGUUGUUUAUCACUAUAUCAUCUAUGCAAUUCACUUCCCUGUAUGUUCAUUAAAAUAGACCAGACCACACAGACACAGCAAUUGUAUAAUUUUGCUUAAGUGUCACGCGGAGCUCGUGUACUGACUUCCAGAAGGGUUGGGGUGGACACAGUAAUUUUUGCAUAACACUUGCUUAUCACAACUUUCCAGAUGACUCUAUGGUGACAUUAUGGCAAGGUUCAAAUCCAUAGCCAUUUAAAUCAUUUUCUGAGCUAGAAUAGAAAAAUCAGUCCGAGAAAUUUCAUCUACCAUAUCCCAGACUGAGGCAAAGCAGAUGCUUUCUUCCAUAUUUAAAACACUCACAAAACAGGAAGAUAGUUUCCAUCAUGCCAGUUCAAGCUACCAUGUUAAAGCAAGCAAAAAGUUGUGCUUUUUAAUAUACCUUAUUCUAAGUAGCUGGUUUAAUGGGAGAAAUAACCUUUGUACUAAUGAGAUUUUGAAAAAAACAAAUGAAUGUAAAAGCAAACACUGAAUCUUCUCUAAUACUCUUGUUGCUCUGGCACAGGAUCCAUAGCCAUUUGGGUACCAAAUGAUCCCCUCAGGGAUAAACAAUUUCCAUGGGUGCAAUUGGAUGUUCUGGUAUGUGUAUCAGCAGAAAGGGGGAAUAAAGUUAAGGAAGAAGACGGAGAGAAAUCAGUGUUUAAUUUUAUCCAAAAGAUAAGAGACAGAGGAAGAAAAAGAAGUACAGAGAGGAAGGGUAUCAAGAACCAAUGCUGAUGGUGUCAGAGGCAGAUACUCCUCUGUUCUGUUCAGUGAAACUAUCAUGAGAGCCCAUUGACUCUUCUGUAAGAAUUUGUAUAGUUUGCACCAUGACACCGUGCCUCAGACUGUCUUAAUGACUCAUUGUCCCUGUUUUGACACAACCUAACGUGAUCAGGAGCUCAUCAGCUAACUCAAAAUUUGUUUUCUGAAGGUUGAAAUGAGACACCAUCUAAAGGUGUACUUGCUAUAGUCUCACCUCUGAGUAAGGAAACAAAUGCUUUGUGACUUUGUGUCUUUCAGUACUAUACGAUUUGGGAUACUAUAGCUCAAUGUACCAUUAUAGCUCUUUCCAUGGAUUUCUAAAAUAUGCCUAACGAGUAACCAACUUAAUCAAUCCCAAGUAUCUUGGUGGAAAAGAUUUCCCCUCCCAACAUCAAAAACCCUUCAGAUAAGAUGAGUGCAUAAUAAGGCCAAUGUUUAUUUAUGUAGCUGUUGUAACUUAAAAGAGAUCUGAAGGAAACAUUUAUUCAGUAUCAUCAAGCCACUAAUAACUUCCAUGCACUCAAUAUACUGGUCCAUUGGCUAUGAAUGCAUUCUUACUUUUACAGCUUCCCUAGAAAUUCUUUAUCUGAAAAUUUACCAAAAAGCAACUCAUCGUAUCAUACAGUAAGAAACUAAAAAUCUAUAUCUAAGACAUAUUGUUGCUGUUUCGAACAAACCUGGAAUAUAAUUUGAUAAUUCAAUGAAAAUUUGUUUGUUUCAUAUUGUGUAUGUUAAAAGAAGUAGCAUUAACUGGAAUCAUCAAUCAAAAAAUUUCCCCAACAUCUCCCGGCAAGUGAUUGCAACAGCAGCUGGAAAUUUGGUAGACAUCUUUCCUUCCUAAUUCCUUCAGCAAGAACAUUUAGAACGCUGUAAUGAUUGGCUCUAAGGAAUCUUGUGUUUAUGAAAAACUAUCCUGCUUCUGCCUUAUGCAUUCAAAUUUGUCUCCAACCAGACUCUUUGUACGCCCUGAAAGCUCCCAGAGGCUUUUGACUACGUAGUACUGCCCCCAUGUGGGCCAAGGGUGUCAAUCGUACAAGGAGCACCUGCAUUGCAUUUUUGACAUUAGCAGAGGGAGGUAAAAACUAUGAUUUUUUUGGUAGUUUUUAUCCUAUACAUUGAUUUGAAUUUUCAAGGGAAAUAAACUUUUCCAGUCUCAGAGUUAGUCAUAAAAAGUAGCUGGGUUAAGAUGCCUGGAAAUAAAGAACAGAGGAGAAGGGAUAGGAAAAUCUAGGCCAAUGUUCUCUCUCACCUGGGAUUCUUGUUUUUCUCCGCCCAGAAGGUCAAAUCUCAGAUGAAUUAGUAUGCAGAUCACAUACACAGCAACUACAGUUCCAGACUAGGGAAUGUGCUAAUUGGCUCACCCGCCCGAAGUACCGGGGUACCAGUCGUCUGACACAUAGCCUCUGAGGGAAGCAGGACUUAAUGCAGGACACAAUGUUCUCACCACUCUGCACUGUCCCCUAUCCCUGCUUCUAGCAAGCAGCCUGGCCAUACGCAGCGAUGGCUGGAGCACUUUCAUAAUUAUUCCUGCUUCGUAGACUAAUGUGUACACUUGGGAUUUUAAAAUGCUAUCUAAUUCAGAAGAAAUUAAAAUUAAAGCCAGUGUCCCUCCAGGCUCCUUUCCCCAUACAUUUCUCCUGUAGUGUUCCAAACAGUGCUCUAAAUAGCAUCAUGCAUAAAAAGGUAGGUUAGAAACUCGGCAUUGGUGGUGCUAACACCCUUUAAAUCUGUCAUAGCAUUGAGAAUAUGGUUAAAGCUAGUCCCUUACCAGACAGUACAAUACAAGAAACAACUCUUUUGCUAGUCCUCAAAGAAGUUAAAUAAUUAAAACCCCUUUUCUAAUUCCUUUAUGAUUAGAGAAAAUACCUUAUAAAUAAAUGAGUAAAUAAAUAGCAUCUCAAAUAUGAAGAUUACUUGGUUACUUGUUUGUAACUCCUUUCACUAUUGGCCUCAUCAUUCCGACUCAUGAACUGUUUUGCUCUCUUCUGGGAUUGUUUCCUAAAGAGGUGGGAUGCUUCAGAGAAGAAACAUAGAAUUUCCUAAGUGUUAGCACCCGUCUUGUUCCAGGAAGCAAUGAUAUGCUUAGAGCUCUCUUUGAACAGGGAGCUGUCUGAAUCAUAUGGUAUCCAUGUUGCUGAUGCAAUAGGAUCAGGAAAAACGACAGCCGUCAGUUGUUGAUUAAGUCUGUUAAGUUAUCCAGGCUAAUGAGGUGGAGGCUUUUCAUGCUUCCCCUGCCUAAUGUCUCUCAUUAAAUGUACACUUAUCAAAUAUUCAGAAAAUUGUGGUAGUCAUAAUAGUGGUAAUAAUAGCCACAUGAUGACAAUGGUGAAAAAAGAAAGCAUCCUUGAAUGGAAGAGGUUUCAUUUUGCUGAAGCAAAUCAAAAGAGGUUGUAGUACUGCUGUGAGCUGUGUGCAGAGUACAUGAGACUAUCUAGAUGUUCCUUUGCUUUAUCAUGUUUUUAAUAAACUAAAGGUAAUUAGCUAGAUUUCCUGGGAUUACUUGGACACACAAAAGUACAACAAAUUUUUAGGCAACACAAAUACUUCUCCUGAUUUGAGUUUGCAUUUUGACCUGAAACUAGCAAAGCAAAGCUAAUUCUCAACAUUGCAAUUUACAUUCUACUUCAGUUUCUUAUUUAUGUUAGUUCAAUUUUAGAUCAAAUGCCCUUGUGGAGCCACCUUAUAUUAAAAAGACUAUUCAGCCUCAACUGAAUUAGACUAUUUUUUGUUUGCUUGGUUAGUUGGUUGGUGGGUUUUGCUUUGUUUUUUACAGGUUUGCAGCUGAAAAUUUUUUCUUGCUUGUAUUUUUCAACUUUUAUGUUUGUCAGAGCCUCUAAGUCUGGGUCAGGAUGAGAUGUGAAGAUGUCAGAAAAUUCAAGGAACCUUCUAUUUUGUAGACUCAAAAGGAUUUGAUAAUAAUAUGAAUUGUCAGUUUUGCUCAUCACUCAGUUCUAAAAAUCUAUACUCAAAACCUUUCAUGAUUGUCUUAUCUCUCAGUAGCAUCAAACAUAAUAAAAUCAAAAUAAACUUCUGAUGAAAAUCAGGUUUCAAAAUUUUACCGGAAGUUUCUUUUCUGUUUGAUUCUUUUUGAUCAGCACCAGAUAUACCAGAAACAAACAAGUUUCUCCAAAAUCUCAUUUUGUUUUAGCAAUACUCCUAGCAAGAAAAAAAAGACAAAUAUGGAAAUGAUGCUGUUCAGGUUUUUCUUCUGUCACCUCUAUUAAUAAGUUCAUAAAAACAAUACUAAUAUUAAUAUUGGCCUUAUUAAUUUUCCAAAUUAAAAAUAACAUAGUUAAUACAAUAGACUCAGCUUUUGAAUUUGUGGUGAUCUUUCUCUGGUAUUAGGAAAUUUUGCAUCCCUGACAGUUCAGUAGCACUACUUUCUCUUUUGUCUUAAGUCUAAUGUAAGUCUAACGGGCUCAUUUAGGCUUGUAAUGAACAGUUUAGGAUUUUUCCUCUCGGGUUCCCAAUCUUGGUAGGUGACAGUAGUUUGUUUGCAUUUGCCUUAUGUAUUUGAUGCUACACAGUAGUGAAAUGCAAUCCUUUGCUGUCUAUACAAUUAUUAUGAUGCCUUUGCAACAUGAUGUGCUCACUGACACAAGUUUACCUUCCUUUGCCCCAGGCUUGCAACCUGGUGGCAUUUGAAUGUACCUGUUCCAAAGAAAGUAUUGGUCUUAUGACAGUUUUGUGAUGUGAAAUAAGCUGAAAGUAGGCUCAACUGACCCGACUAUAACAACAUACCUCAGUCUAGAGACUCUUCUAGCUACUGAUGAUUGCUUUUCUCAUAUUUGGAAAAGGCUAUGACAUGGCCAAGAGAAAGAGAGAGAAAUGUCUUUGACCAAGUCUCUGAACUAUAGAACUUGUCAGAGACUUUUUUUCUUUUGUCCUGAAAAGGAAAGCAGAAUAUCAGAAAUAUAUUUUUGAUACUUUAUUAGUUUGAUACUUUAUUAAGUCCCAGCUAAUGUUGUCGAUGAAACAGCAACAGUAGCAUUUCCAAAAUUUCUGUUUUGGAAAAGAUUAUGGGUAGCAAUUUGAUUGGGAGAGAUAAUUAAAGAAUUGCAAUCAUAUGGUUUUUACUUAGAGUGUAUGAUUGUAUACCUAUUCAGGAAUAAUAAUGGAUAGCCUGAAGGGGAUUAUGGACAAUGGCAAAAAUCUUCCAUCCCUACUUCUUGGCACCCCUCUGCAUAUUCACUGCUAGUUUGAUGGAACAAUUUGGAAGUUUACUGUUUGUUAACGGUUUCUAUAUUUUAUGACAUAUAAUAUGUAGAGUAACAUAAAACUAGAUAGUAAUGAGGAAUAUCCAUUUAAAUUAACCUACCUAAUGAAAACAAACCAAACAAAAUAUUUAUUGUAUGCCAGUGGCUUCCAUUCCUGUUUCUUCAUGAGAUCCAAAUUAGUGCUCUUAAGUCUAAUUGCCAAAGCAGCUUCCAUUGUCUGGGCCCAUAUGCCAGAAUGAACUGCCAUUUACAUUGGACCAAGAAAGCAGUAAGCACGUUGGGCAAAUUUGACACAAAUAUGCCAGCUACUGUUGAUAUAGGAGCAGAAAUAGUGCAUAAGCUUUCCUUGAAACAAAGAAUAAACUAAAAACCAAUCACUGAGUACAUCAGUUUCUCAUCCCUGCUGAGGUGCCACAAGGCCCUGAGAUUCUUCCUUACAAAGCCACCCACCAGAGAGAAAAAAAGAAAAGAAGAAAAAUAACAAUUCUAAUGUUGAGAAAAAGAAGUCAAGGGCAGACUCUAAUACUUUCCUUAUGUUCUCUCCGGAGCUCUGUGGAGAAUAUUCUGUGCUGGUAAUUGCUCCUAAUCAACUGGAUGGAAGAGAAAGCAAAAAUAAGAACAACCCAUGCCUAUAUAUUUAGUAUACGCUUAAUUCUUCUCUAACAUAGAUGACAUCUAGGAGAAUCCUAGAAAAGGUUUUACCAGACAUUUCUUUUCACCUAUCACACAGUUCUAAUCGUUCUUUUCUUGGAGUGCUUUUAAUACUUUCCCUGAAAAUAUGUAGCAGCAUAAUACUCUGUUAUUAUGGUAUAAUUGGUCUAGCAAGAUUUAAUAUUCUCUAUAGCUCAAUCAUCACCAAGCUCUAGCCAUGCUAGAAAAUAGACUUUGAAUAAGUAGAACUGUCUCAGCUAACUCACCCUACCUGGCAAUAGGAAAUCACCGUAGGAUUGUGAUAAUCUUUGAAACCUAGUACUUUGGGCAGGGUAAAUAUUGGGCUCAUACAUGAUGCAUACUCAUGCAAGGACUCAUAGUGUGUCUCCCUCAAUUGUAACUGAGUUACAAAGUUGUCUUGACUUUGUAUAUUGGAAUAAAAUGGACUAAUAUUCAUUACAAAUAAACUGUACCCCAAACAGUUCUUAGAAUAGAUACUUCCAAAGAGCUGACAGAACAGAGCACUAUUAUUUUUACAUUAUGUGCCCUCCUUAUCCAAGGAUAAGGCAAUACCCUAGACCUAACAUUUACGACAGCCCCUAAAAUAGCCACCAAGAAACUGUGUAUUUAAUUCUUAGUCUUUCAAUAUUUUUUAAAUGUUUUUCAGGCAUAAGCUAGAGUUACUCAUUCUUGCCUCCUUCCAUAUUGCUUGGAUCAAUGAAGACAAUUAUCUUAGCAGCAAAUUAAUGUUAAUUUCACUACACAAAAUUUUGAAUAAAAUUGAACAAGAGUAGCGAUACACAUAAAAGCCACAUCUUAGGCUCAUGGGCUAUGCACGUAUUUUUUUAGUUGACAUAAAUCUUGGAAAAAUUUCCUUGUAUAGCUGUGAUCAGUAAAUUAUAACACUCCUGAAGGACUCAGCUAGGUUUUUUGCAUCCCUAUAAUUUCAGAUGACAGAAUAUCUGACUAGUAGUAGGUACUCAAUAAAUACUCGAUUAAAAAAUUAAGCCAAUGGGACAUUGUAACCUAUGUUUUGUCUCUUAAUGUAACACCAUAUCUUGCAGAAUUUCAACAAUUAGUCAUAUCCACGGAGUAUAUAAUAAGCUAGCUAGUUCUUCAACACUGACUUGGAAAAAGCUAACUUAUUUCAUUCGUUUUUACCCUAGACAUGUUUCACAGCGUGAUCUAUAUGUAACCCUUUUAAAGGAAACCGGUCUUCUCAAGUCUCUUCAGAAGCUAAAAGGAUAUUUAUAAAAGAAAUGAUGAUAUACCUCAAACCAUGGGUAUGGAACCGGAAAUAGCAAUUUGACCACAGAAGUUUUUUCACAACUCAUAUACUACUACCCAAUGAUCUAGGAUCCAUGUGGCCUCACAAAAUAUAUGAGAAUAGCCACUCAUAGUGUCAAUCUUUAGAACCUGAAUGAAAAGAAAAAAAAAAUAUGGUGAGAAGAGGAAAUGACAGAGGAGCACACAAUGGUGAUGGUGGUGAGGACAGAGAUGUGGUAGCUGCAAUCUAUUAAUGGUAAAUCACUAAAAGAAGACCCUAAAACUCCUAAAAUGCUUAAAUGACCUUGAGUUUGGAUCCAUUUCCUUGAGGGCCAGUCCUAUUACUGAUCAUCUACUUAGAUAUCUAUGAAAGCCCACUACUGAAACCACUCCAUAUGUAUUCUUUUUUUUUUUUUUUUUUUUUUUGAGACGGAGUCUUGCUCUGUCGCCCAGGCUGGAGUGCAGUGGCGCAAUCUCGGCUCACUGCAAGCUCCGCCUCCCGGGUUCAAGCUAUUCUCCUGCCUCAGCCUCCUGAGUAGCUGGGACUAUGGGCGCC
rnacentral:lncRNA from 1 species